GUCACGGACGGGACGUCGGCCGUUUAAGCCGGAGGAAGGUGGGGAUGACGUCAAGUCAGCAUGGCCUUUAUAUCCUGGGCUACGCACACGCUACAAUGGUCGGUACAAUAGGUUGCCAAGCCGCGAGGCGGAGCCAAUCCACAAAGCCGGCCUCAGUUCAGAUUGUAGGCUGCAACUCGCCUGCAUGAAGAUGGAGUUGCUAGUAACCGCAGGUCAGCAAUACUGCGGUGAAUACGUUCCCGGGUCUU
rnacentral:rRNA from 1 species